AUAAUCGCAGACGGUUUGAAUGAAUGACGUAGUGAUGCCUCCGUGCUGCUGCGUGUUAUCGUGCCUUCGUUCGUUGUAAAUGAGAGACAGUCAAUAGCUGGGAGGUGCGGUAACUCACUCCUUUCUUUGGUUACUUGGUGGACUAUGGUGGUGAAAAUGACUGUGCAAGGCACCGGGGUUAACCGCCUCAGUGCUGUUGUUUUUGUAGCAGCAGCAAUAUGGUAUCCGGCACGCACGUUACAGGUGUUGUUGUUGUUGUUUCGGUAAUGCGUGGCUGUCUGUGGGUGUUGGAUCUGACUGUCAGGUUGCCUGCAAAAAGGUAGGCCUGGCAGUGGUUGCAGACGCCUUGCAGUGUGCAGCCUACGCUGCUAUCGAAGUGCCUGUGGUACUGGGGGCGAAAUAGUCAGUGGUGCUGUGGUAGACGAGCUACCCGACCCGUCUUGAAACACGGACCAAGGAGUUUAACAUGUAUGCGAGUCAAAGGGUCCUACGAAACCCCUAGGCGCAGUGAAAGUGAAGUUCGUGUUGCAUCAUCAGUGCGCGCGCGCACACAUGCAGCAAUGCGUGUGUGUGGCAGACAUGCAAGGCAGUACGAUGUGGUGAGAUCCCGCUGUGCAAUUUGUCACGCGCACAAUAGCCAGGUGUUGUUUUAUAAUCGCCAGGCGUAAGGGCAGUGGGCGCAUCACCGGCCCGUCCCAUGAUGUGGUCGUAGGUUGGUUGGUUGGUUGGUUGGUUGGUAGGUUAAUACUACCGCCUGCCUGCCUCCCUCUUCGGCCUACGCGCCAUCGGGGCGGAGCAUGAGCAUACAUGUUGAGACCCGAAAGAUGGUGAACUAUGCUUGCGUAGGUUGAAGCCAGAGGAAACUCUGGUGGAGGACCGUAGCGAUUCUGACGUGCAAAUCGAUCGUCAAACGUGAGUAUA
rnacentral:rRNA from 1 species